rnacentral:lncRNA from 1 species
CCUCUCAUUUACUCUCAGUUCAACCUUUCUCCACCAAUCACACUCUACGUCUUCUCUCUUCUCUUUAUAUCUAAUUUGAUGUCUUUUUAGGUCUUAGUUGUUGUAUGUCUUGGUAUGUGACAAAUUGAUUUGCUUUUUAUGUGUCAUUGCAGGUGUAUGCUACAAGAACUAAGUCCUUGGAUGACAGAAAGGGUGAAGGCUUUAUAUCUAACACAUCUUCCCGCCACGCUGAUUAAUUCAUUUUGGAUGACAGAAAGGGUGAAGACUUGUAAUCCUUUUAUUAUUUUUGUAUGUUCUUAAGAUCUUGACAAUCUUUUUUUUUUGCUUAUCCCAGG